AGAGUUUGAUCAUGGCUCAGAUUGAACGCUGGCGGCAUGCUUUACACAUGCAAGUCGAACGGCAGCACGGGGGCAACCCUGGUGGCGAGUGGCGAACGGGUGAGUAAUGCAUCGGAACGUAUCCUUAAGUGGGGGAUAACGCAUCGAAAGAUGCGCUAAUACCGCAUAAUCUCUAAGGAGAAAAGCAGGGGAUCGCAAGACCUUGCGCUUUUGGAGCGGCCGAUGUCUGAUUAGCUAGUUGGUGAGGUAAAGGCUUACCAAGGCUUCGAUCAGUAGCUGGUCUGAGAGGACGACCAGCCACACUGGGACUGAGACACGGCCCAGACUCCUACGGGAGGCAGCAGUGGGGAAUUUUGGACAAUGGGGGCAACCCUGAUCCAGCCAUGCCGCGUGAGUGAAGAAGGCCUUCGGGUUGUAAAGCUCUUUCAGCCGGAACGAAAAGGUUACGGUUAAUACCCGUGACUAAUGACGGUACCGGAAGAAGAAGCACCGGCUAACUACGUGCCAGCAGCCGCGGUAAUACGUAGGGUGCGAGCGUUAAUCGGAAUUACUGGGCGUAAAGCGUGCGCAGGCGGUUUUGUAAGUCAGAUGUGAAAUCCCCGGGCUUAACCUGGGAACUGCGUUUGAAACUACAAGGCUAGAGUGUGGCAGAGGGGGGUGGAAUUCCACGUAGCAGUGAAAUGCGUAGAGAUGUGGAGGAACACCGAUGGCGAAGGCAGCCCCCUGGGUUAACACUGACGCUCAGGCACGAAAGCGUGGGGAGCAAACAGGAUUAGAUACCCUAGUAGUCC
rnacentral:rRNA from 1 species